GAUGAACGCUGGCGGCGUGCCUAAUACAUGCAAGUCGAACGCAUAGCGAAAGGUGCUUGCACCUUUCAAGUGAGUGGCGAACGGGUGAGUAACACGUGGACAACCUGCCCCAAGGCUGGGGAUAACAUUUGGAAACAGAUGCUAAUACCGAAUAAAACUUAGUGUCGCAUGACACAAAGUUAAAAGGCGCUUCGGCGUCACCUAGAGAUGGAUCCGCGGUGCAUUAGUUAGUUGGUGGGGUAAAGGCCUACCAAGACAAUGAUGCAUAGCCGAGUUGAGAGACUGAUCGGCCACAUUGGGACUGAGACACGGCCCAAACUCCUACGGGAGGCUGCAGUAGGGAAUCUUCCACAAUGGGCGAAAGCCUGAUGGAGCAACGCCGCGUGUGUGAUGAAGGCUUUCGGGUCGUAAAGCACUGUUGUAUGGGAAGAACAGCUAGAAUAGGAAAUGAUUUUAGUUUGACGGUACCAUACCAGAAAGGGACGGCUAAAUACGUG
rnacentral:rRNA from 1 species